AACGCACCUUGCGCUCUUUGGUAUUCCGAAGAGCAUGCCUGUUUGAGUGUCAUGAAAAUAUCAACCUUGACUUGGGUUUAGUGCUCUUGUCUGGGCUUGGAUUUGGCUGUUUGCCGCUCGAAAGAGUCGGCUCAGCUUAAAAGUAUUAGCUGGAUCUGUCUUUGAGACUUGGUUUGACUUGGCGUAAUAAGUUAUUUCGCUGAGGACAAUCUUCGGAUUGGCCGAGUUUCUGGGACGUUUGUCCCCUUUCUAAUACAAGUUCUAGCUUGCUAGACAUGACUUUUUUAUUAUCUGGCCUCAAAUCAGGUAGGACUACCCGCUGAACUUAA
rnacentral:misc_RNA from 1 species